AUCCGGGUUGCGGACAGUGUCUGGUGGGUAGUUUGACUGGGGCGGUCUCCUCCUAAAGAGUAACGGAGGAGCACGAAGGUUGGCUAAUCCUGGUCGGACAUCAGGAGGUUAGUGCAAUGGCAUAAGCCAGCUUGACUGCGAGCGUGACGGCGCGAGCAGGUGCGAAAGCAGGUCAUAGUGAUCCGGUGGUUCUGAAUGGAAGGGCCAUCGCUCAACGGAUAAAAGGUACUCCGGGGAUAACAGGCUGAUACCGCCCAAGAGUUCAUAUCGACGGCGGUGUUUGGCACCUCGAUGUCGGCUCAUCACAUCCUGGGGCUGAAGUAGGUCCCAAGGGUAUGGCUGUUCGCCAUUUAAAGUGGUACGCGAGCUGGGUUUAGAACGUCGUGAGACAGUUCGGUCCCUAUCUGCCGUGGGCGCUGGAGAACUGAGGGGGGCUGCUCCUAGUACGAGAGGACCGGAGUGGACGCAUCACUGGUGUUCGGGUUGUCAUGCCAAUGGCACUGCCCGGUAGCUA
rnacentral:rRNA from 1 species